rnacentral:rRNA from 1 species
GAUGGCGGCGCUGUCUCCACCCGAGACUCAGUGAAAUUGAAAUCGCUGUGAAGAUGCAGUGUAUCCGCGGCUAGACGGAAAGACCCCGUGAACCUUUACUAUAGCUUUGCACUGGACUUUGAAUUUGCUUGUGUAGGAUAGGUGGGAGGCUUUGAAGCGUGAACGCCAGUUUGCGUGGAGCCAUCCUUGAAAUACCACCCUGGCAACUUUGAGGUUCUAACUCAGGUCCGUUAUCCGGAUCGAGGACAGUGUAUGGUGGGUAGUUUGACUGGGGCGGUCUCCUCCUAAAGAGUAACGGAGGAGUACGAAGGUGCGCUCAGACCGGUCGGAAAUCGGUCGUAGAGUAUAAAGGCAAAAGCGCGCUUGACUGCGAGACAGACACGUCGAGCAGGUACGAAAGUAGGUCUUAGUGAUCCGGUGGUUCUG